UAGGGAAUCUUCGGCAAUGGGGGGAACCCUGACCGAGCAACGCCGCGUGAGUGAAGAAGGUUUUCGGAUCGUAAAGCUCUGUUGUUAAGGAAGAACGAGUGUGAGAAUGGAAAGUUCAUACUGUGACGGUACUUAACCAGAAAGGGACGGCUAACUACGUGCCAGCAGCCGCGGUAAUACGUAGGUCCCGAGCGUUGUCCGGAUUUAUUGGGCGUAAAGCGAGCGCAGGCGGUUAGAUACGUCUGAAGUUAAAGGCAGUGGCUCAACCAUUGUAGGCUUUGGAAACUGUUUAACUUGAGUGCAGAAGGGGAGAGUGGAAUUCCAUGUGUAGCGGUGAAAUGCGUAGAUAUAUGGAGGAACACCGGUGGCGAAAGCGGCUCUCUGGUCUGUAACUGACGCUGAGGCUCGAAAGCGUGGGGAGCGAACAGG
rnacentral:rRNA from 1 species